UACGUAGGGCGCGAGCGUUGUCCGGAAUUAUUGGGCGUAAAGAGCUCGUAGGCGGCCUGUUGCGUCCGCUGUGAAAUCCCAGGGCUCAACCCUGGGCGUGCAGUGGAUACGGGCAGGCUGGAGGCAGGCAGGGGAGAACGGAAUUCCCGGUGUAGCGGUGGAAUGCGUAGAGAUCCGGAAGAACACCGGUGGCGAAGGCGGCCUGCUGGGCAGUAGCUGACGCUGAGGCGCGACAGCGUGGGGAGCAAACAGG
rnacentral:rRNA from 1 species